ACGAAGAUAGAUUUGAAGAUGUGAUGUUUUCUUUUUUAGUUUCAUCUUUUAUUUUAUCGAUCCUACGGCCCAGUUUACUAACCCAUAUUUCUUAUUUACAAGGCCCGUUUAUGGAGUAAGUGAUUGUAUUGUAUAACUUGGUUUGUGAAUUUCGGAAUGAAUAAUUAAAAGAAAUUUGAGCAUGUAUUUAAGAAUGUAUUUCUUAUUGUAUUCUCAUAGAUAAGCAUGAGAUGUGUAAAAACGCUUUUGUGUGAUUUAUCUUUUGAGUAAGUUUGAUCCAGAACUUUACAUUGAUCACUCUGCACAAUAAACACACAAAAUGUUAUUGUUAAUAACCUAACCAUACAAUUUCCAUGAAUAUCAAACAUAACUGAAAUAGAAAAUGAAAAAAAGUAAACUGAAAAACCUUUUUAUAUAGCGUAUUUUUUCAAUUUUCAUAGAUUUUAAAUCAUAAACAAAUAAUAAAUACUGAAUAAUUAGUGGAUUACUUGAUGGUUCGUUAUAAGCCUAACUGAACAUAAAAUAACUUGAACUAGAAAAAUCAAAAUUGAAUCUGACACAAUCUAUAAAAUAUUAAAAUGGAGGUCUACGCCAUAAUGGUUCCACGAUCGCAUCUCCACCUCUGCGUAUUGGUCUAAGCCACGUCUACGAUCGCCUCUCCACCUCUGUGCAUUGGUCUAAGCCACGUCUACGAUCGCCUCUCCACUUUGAGUUUUACUAUUUUAGUUUAAGGUCGGAUAAAAAAAAAACCACUUUCUUUGUGGCUUUGAAUUAUUAUUUGCUGCAAGUUCAGUUUGACUGAUUUUGUUGAUUUAAAAAGCACUAAUUUUUCUAAAUUUUAUCAGAGAUUAAAUCUUAAAAUGAUAUCUUUUGAACUUUCAUUGUGUAAUUGAACUCAUAGAGAAAUGUUGUCUAUAUAUCUUAUUACAUUGUAGCUGUUUUGGGUUUCCUAGAAGCAUAAUAAACAUUCGAUAUUGUUUUGGUUCGGAUUUAGUUUAUCAAAACAUUUCAUUUCAAGAUAAACCUCAGUUCCUUAUCUUCGGUUUUGCUUAGGUGCCUACAGCUCACGAUUGGAUUCGGUUUUGGCUUUGUUGAUGAUAUCAAGAUAAUGAUGAUAUCAUCUUUCUAUGUCUUAUGUAAUUUUUUAGCUUUGUUCCUUGCACAAUGGACAAUGGUUUGAGUAGAGAAUGUGGUUUCAGAGUUGCUAAAGUCACAAUUUCGUUUACUUGGUGUGUUCUGUGGUAUGCGUAGUUGUCUGUUUUGUGAACUUCUGUGGCGAGCCUUAUGAUUCAUGACAUUUUGCAAUGCUUGCAUUUAGCUUUAGAUGUUGGCUUUUGGUGAAGUUGUGAUGUUAGUACACAAAUGUUGCCUUACACAUGCUGAAAUAUCUUACACGCUCAAAAUAUAUUUUAUUUGAAUCAUAUUUCCAGGAUUAAUACUGAGGCCAGUGAACCAUUAACCGAAUCAGGAGAGACUUCUAUUCAAUAUCCGAACACAUGUAUUGUACACACCUAAUCUCAAUUUAGCUUUCAUUCUUCUAAUUCCUUCAAAGUAGUAUUUUCAAUGGUGUGUAUUUUAAUUAUGUAUUAUUAAGUAAACCUAAAAGAGUUCGGGACCAAAAUAGAUAAUAAUCAGAAUUAUCAAAAAUAUAUGAAUAUAAAAUGUUAUUGGCUGAAUCAACUUGAACAUAUAUAAAACCCGAAUGAGACCUACUCAGCUGAACCUUAAACCCAGAAAAGACAAUAUGGACCCAACCCAAAGCCCAUUAGGGAAUCAAGGUACCUAAUGUGUUAUAUAUCAAUUCGAAAUUCCAUCAACAUUAUUAUAAUGUACAAUGUUCAUCAUGUAAAAGGAUUAUAACUCAAAUAGUAAUGACGAGAUGCUUGGAAUGGUUUGCUGGUACAGCAGUAGAAUUGUUGCGGUUAGUGUGGCUUUAUACAUUGUUGCGGUUAGUGUAGUUUUGUUUUCUACUUAAAUGGAAAACCAAUAACGCCUCGAUCAUACAGACUCUUGAUACCAAAUGAAGGUUGCAUGAUAACAAUUAAAAGCCAAAUAUCAAUAAAAAAAUAUUAUCUGAUACAAUAGUUAUAUUAAGUUAUUAACAAUGCAAAGGUUCUUGCUUCCCAGCUUUGAAAGAAAUUAUGGAAAAAUAAGGAAUAAAGAGGCAUAUAUCAAUUCGAUCACUCAGGGCUACAAAACAAGGGACUAAAACGCAAAGGUUUCUUGAAACGCAGACGUAACCCAGAGAGUUUAUCACACACAUAAACGAAAUCAAAGGGAAAUGAAACAAACAAAUG